GGAGAACCCUGCAAAAUGUAAUCAUGUCAUUUGGAUCAAAUCAUGAAGCUUUCAAAAAUAAAGGAAAAUACAUUGCUCUUUCCCCUUCCCCACCAGCACUACAAUACUGAAUUAACACAUAAAUGAUCUGCUGGCCAGAGCAGAAUAUGGACCACAGAUGUUAACAACCUGGCACCGCUUGUUGUUUCUCAGUGUUGCAGGAGACAGUUUGUCCUGACUGAAUUCCCAAUGACGUGAAAAGACUGACCAAGUCCAGGCAUUUGAACCAAUUAUUAACUUCAAAUGAUGAGUGCUCAGCUACCUGACAGAUUCCAGUUUGGAAAAAUCCAUCUUUCCAGGAGUGAUGGAGCAGAUGUGUCUACUUUAGCAAUGGGCAGCCUAGAAGAUGGACAUUUGACAGGCGACAAUAGACUGCUCCUUUCCCAGAUUACACAAACCUAACAAUUCUCCUUGUGAUGUCUCUUAAGGAUUCUAUGGAAGAAGGCUUCUGACAGUUCCUCUGGUAAUGACUGUUACUUCCCUAUAUAUGACAAGAGUUUUAUGUGUGUGUAAUUCUCCUUGAUUAUUCUAAAAAAAUAAAUGUGUCUAGGAUAAUUUUGUAUAUCA
rnacentral:lncRNA from 1 species